rnacentral:tRNA from 3 species
GGGCGAUUAGCUCAGGGGGAGAGCGCUUCCUUGACGCGGAAGAGGUCAAUGGUUCGAAUCCAUUAUCGCCCA